GUAUUGAAUGAUGUUGAAUUCAGAG
rnacentral:piRNA from 1 species